AACGAACGCUGGCGGCAUGCCUAACACAUGCAAGUCGAACGAGACCUUCGGACUUAGUGGCGCACGGGUGCGUAACGCGUGGGAAUCUGCCCUUGGGUGCGGAAUAACUUCUCGAAAGGGAUGCUAAUACCGCAUAAUGUCGUAAGACCAAAGAUUUAUCGCCCAAGGAUGAGCCCGCGUAAGAUUAGCUAGUUGGUGGGGUAAAAGCCUACCAAGGCGACGAUCUUUAGCUGGUCUGAGAGGAUGAUCAGCCACACUGGGACUGAGACACGGCCCAGACUCCUACGGGAGGCAGCAGUGGGGAAUAUUGGACAAUGGGCGAAAGCCUGAUCCAGCAAUGCCGCGUGAGUGAUGAAGGCCCUAGGGUUGUAAAGCUCUUUUACCAGGAUGAUAAUGACAGUACCUGGAGAAUAAGCUCCGGCUAACUCCGUGCC
rnacentral:rRNA from 1 species